UGUUAUUCUUGAGCAUGACCGUAGACAGUAGGUGCUGUUAAGCUUAAAGGCGCAAGCCGCCUACCGAGGUCAGAGGGAAAAGAAGAUGUGUGGUACGUGUCAAGGUAGGAACGGUAUGCCCUCUGCUGUCUGCGGAGGGCUUGAUUUUUCUGGCA
rfam:Thermoanaerobacterales bacterium 50_218 S_scaffold_767, whole genome shotgun sequence.